rnacentral:rRNA from 1 species
AUGAACGCUGGCGGCGUGCCUAAUACAUGCAAGUCGCGCGAACGGACGAGAAGCUUGCUUUUCUGAUGUUAGCGGCGGACGGGUGAGUAACACGUGGAUAACCUACCUAUAAGACUGGGAUAACUUCGGGAAACCGGAGCUAAUACCGGAUAAUAUUUUGAACCGCAUGGUUCAAAAGUGAAAGACGGUCUUGCUGUCACUUAUAGAUGGAUCCGCGCUGCAUUAGCUAGUUGGUAAGGUAACGGCUUACCAAGGCAACGAUGCAUAGCCGACCUGAGAGGGUGAUCGGCCACACUGGAACUGAGACACGGUCCAGACUCCUACGGGAGGCAGCAGUAGGGAAUCUUCCGCAAUGGGCGAAAGCCUGACGGAGCAACGCCGCGUGAGUGAUGAAGGUCUUCGGAUCGUAAAACUCUGUUAUUAGGGAAGAACAUAUGUGUAAGUAACUGUGCACAUCUUGACGGUACCUAAUCAGAAAGCCACGGGUAACUACGUG